rnacentral:rRNA from 1 species
AGAGUUUGAUCCUGGCUCAGAACGAACGCUGGCGGCAUGCCUAACACAUGCAAGUCGAACGCAAGGUCUCGGGUUCGCCUGGGGCCUUGAGUGGCGCACGGGUGAGUAGCGCGUGGGAACCUGCCCUGGAGUGGGGGAUAACCGAGGGAAACUUCGGCUAAUACCGCAUGAUCCCGGGAAACCGGGCAAAGAUUUAUCGCUCUAGGAGGGGCCCGCGUCGGAUUAGGUAGUUGGUGGGGUAACGGCCUACCAAGCCUGUGAUCCGUAGCUGGUCUGAGAGGAUGAUCAGCCACACUGGGACUGAGACACGGCCCAGACUCCUACGGGAGGCAGCAGUGGGGAAUAUUGGACAAUGGGGGCAACCCUGAUCCAGCAAUGCCGCGUGAGUGAAGGAAGGCCUUCGGGUUGUAAAGCUCUUUCGGCGGGGACGAUGAUGACGGUACCCGCAGAAGAAGCCCCGGCUAACUUCGUGCCAGCAGCCCGCGGUAUACGAAGGGGGCGAAGCGUUGUUCGGAUUUACUGGGCGUAAAGGGCGCGC